GCCGAGAUAGCUCAGUCGGUAGAGCAGGAGACUGAAAAUCUCUGUGUCGGUGGUUCGAUUCCGCCUCUCGGCACCA
rnacentral:tRNA from 1 species